rnacentral:rRNA from 1 species
UGGGGAAUAUUGCACAAUGGGCGCAAGCCUGAUGCAGCCAUGCCGCGUGUAUGAAGAAGGCCUUCGGGUUGUAAAGUACUUUCAGCGGGGAGGAAGGGAGUAAAGUUAAUACCUUUGCUCAUUGACGUUACCCGCAGAAGAAGCACCGGCUAACUCCGUGCCAGCAGCCGCGGUAAUACGGAGGGUGCAAGCGUUAAUCGGAAUUACUGGGCGUAAAGCGCACGCAGGCGGUUUGUUAAGUCAGAUGUGAAAUCCUCGGGCUCAACCUGGGAACUGCAUCUGAUACUGGCAAGCUUGAGUCUCGUAGAGGGGGGUAGAAUUCCAGGUGUAGCGGUGAAAUGCGAAGAGAUCUGGAGGAAUACCGGUGGCGAAGGCGGCACCCUGGACGAAGACUGACGCUCAGGUGCGAAAGCGUGGGGAGCAAACAGG